rnacentral:rRNA from 1 species
GACGAACGCUGGCGGCGUGCUUAACGCAUGCAAGUCGAACGGAAAGGCCCUGCUUUUGUGGGGUGCUCGAGUGGCGAACGGGUGAGUAACACGUGAGUAACCUGCCCUUGACUUUGGGAUAACUUCAGGAAACUGGGGCUAAUACCGGAUAGGAGCUCCUGCUGCAUGGUGGGGGUUGGAAAGUUUCGGCGGUUGGGGAUGGACUCGCGGCUUAUCAGCUUGUUGGUGGGGUAGUGGCUUACCAAGGCUUUGACGGGUAGCCGGCCUGAGAGGGUGACCGGCCACAUUGGGACUGAGGUACGGCCCAGACUCCUACGGGGGGCAGCAGUGGGGAAUUUUGCACAAUGGGCGGAAGCCUGAUGCAGCAACGCCGCGGGCGGGAUGACGGCCUUCGGGGUGGAAACCGCUUUCGCCUGGGACGAAGCGGGAGGGACGGUAAUGGGUAAAGAAGCACCGGCUAACUACGGG